GCCGAGGUAGCUUAAAACUUAAAGCUUUGAUUUUGUAAUUCAAGGAUAGAGGCCCCCUCUCCCCGGUU
rnacentral:tRNA from 1 species